CCAGGAAGACUUCCCAGUGGGAGAUUAGAAUCUUCAAAGACCUAUUGUUUUCCCGAAUGGCCCUUCCCAACUGGCCAUCCAGACUGAUUGCAUUUUAUCUAGUGGGCAUUCCCCAGAGAUGGGAAAGCACACGUC